rnacentral:rRNA from 1 species
UGGCGGCAGGCUUAACACAUGCAAGUCGAACGACAUAGUGGCAGACGGGUGAGUAACGCGUGGGAACGUGCCUUUCACUACGGAAUAGCUCUUGGAAACGAGUGGUAAUACCGUAUACGCCCUCCGGGGGAAAGAUUUAUCGGUGAAAGAUCGGCCCGCGUUAGAUUAGUUUGUUGGUGGGGUAAUGGCCUACCAAGACUACGAUCUAUAGCUGGUCUGAGAGGAUGAUCAGCCACACUGGGACUGAGACACGGCCCAGACUCCUACGGGAGGCAGCAGUGGGGAAUCUUGCGCAAUGGGCGAAAGCCUGAUGCAGCCAUGCCGCGUGAAUGAUGAAGGCCUUAGGGUUGUAAAAUUCUUUCGCUAGGGAUGAUAAUGACAGUACCUAGUAAAGAAGCCCCGGCUAACUUCGUGCCAGCAGCCGCGGUAAUACGAAGGGGGCUAGCGUUGUUCGGAAUUACUGGGCGUAAAGCGCGCGUAGGCGGGCUAUUAAGCCAGAUGUGAAAGCCCGGAGCUCAACUCCGGAACUGCAUUUGGAACUGGUAGCCUAGAGACCAGGAGAGGUUAGCGGAAUACCGAGUGUAGAGGUGAAAUUCGUAGAUAUUCGGUGGAACACCAGUGGCGAAGGCGGCUAACUGGACUGGUACUGACGCCUGAGGCGCGAAAGUGUGGGGAGCAAACAGGAUUAGAUACCCUGGUAGUCCACACCGUAAACGAUGAAUGCUAGUUGUCUGCGCGCAUGCGUGCAGGUGACGCAGCUAACGCAUUAAGCAUUCCGCCUGGGGAGUACGGCCGCAAGGUUAAAACUCAAAGAAAUUGACGGGGGCCCGCACAAGCGGUGGAGCAUGUGGUUUAAUUCGAAGCAACGCGCAGAACCUUACCCGCGUUUGACAUGCCCUGUUUGGUUACCAGAGAUGGUUUCCUUCAUUUAGUUGGCAGGUGCACAGGUGCUGCAUGGCUGUCGUCAGCUCGUGUCGUGAGAUGUUGGGUUAAGUCCCGCAACGAGCGCAACCCUUAUCCUUAGUUGCCAGCACGUCUGGGUGGGCACUCUAAGGAAACUGCCGGUGCUAAGCCGGAGGAAGGCGGGGAUGACGUCAAGUCCUCAUGGCCCUUACACGCGGGGCUACACACGUGCUACAAUGGCAGUGACAAUGGGAUAAUCCCCAAAAGCUGUCUCAGUUCAGAUUGUCCUCUGCAACUCGAGGGCAUGAAGUUGGAAUCGCUAGUAAUCGCGUAACAGCAUGACGCGGUGAAUACGUUCCCGGGCCUUGUACACACCGCCCGUCGCACCAUGGGAGUUGGUUCUACCCGACGGCCGUGCGCUAACCUUUUGGAGGCAGCGGACCACGGUAGGAUCAGCGACUGGGGUGAAGUCGUAACAA